CGGUAAUUCCAGCUCCAAUAGCGUAUACUAAAGUUGUUGCAGUUAAAAAGCUCGUAGUUGGAUUUCUGCGGGGACGGAGCGGCCGGACGCAACUUGCGUCUCGAGCUAGCGCUUUCCCCGCAUCCUGCCGCGAACCGUGCUACCAUUAGUUUGGUGGCGCCGGGGAUCGGCUCGAUUACUUUGAGAAAAAUAGAGUGUUCAAAGCAGGCCACACGCCUUGAAUAAGUUAGCAUGGAAUAAUGACUAAGGACUUUGGUUCUUUUCGUUGGUGUUCGGGACUGAAGUAAUGAUUGAUAGGGACAGUUGGGGCGGUCCGUAUUCCAAAGCGAGAGGUGAAAUUCUUAGACCUUCGGAAGACAAACAGCUGCGAAAGCGUUCCGCAAGGAUGUUCCCUUUGAUCAAGAACGAAAGUUGGGGGAUCGAAGACGAUCAGAUACCGUCGUAGUCUCAACUAUAAACUAUACCAGCUAGGGAUCGGUCAACGUUUAAUUAUUCGACUUGAUCGGCACCUUAUGAGAAAUCAAAGCAUCUGGGUUCCGGGGGGAGUAUGGUCGCAAGGCUGAAACUUAAAGGAAUUGACGGAAGGGCACCACCAGCCGUGGAGCCUGUGGCUUAAUUUGACUCAACACGGGAAAACUUACCAGGUCCAGACAUAGUAAGGAUUGACAGAUUGAUAGCUCUUUCUUGAUUCUGUGGGUGGUGGUGCAUGGCCGUUCUUAGUUGGUGGAGUGAUUUGUCUGGUUAAUUCCGCUAACGAACGAGACCCCAGCCUGCUAAAUAGCGCGGUUGAGCUUUGCUCGAUGCGAGCUUCUUAGAGGGACUAUGAUGCGCGAUAGCACAUGGAGGUUUGGGGCAAUAACAGGUCUGUGAUGCCCUUAGAUGUUCUGGGCCGCACACGGGCUACACUGGCGCCUGCAACGAGCAUAUCAGCUGGCCCGAGAGGGUCUUGGCUAAUCUUUUGGACCGGCGCCGUGCUUGGGAUUGACCUUUGCAAUUGUUGGUCAUGCAACGAGGAAUGCCUUGUAAACGCGAGUCAUCAGCUCGCAUUGAAUACGUCCCUGCCCCUUGUACACACCGCCC
rnacentral:rRNA from 1 species